rnacentral:lncRNA from 1 species
UGGGAUAUGAGCUUUGCUAGAACUACGGAUGUUAUACAUAAUUUCUACUGAUGAGGCUGAGAUGGAUUGUUUUAAUUAGUGAUUAAAGGAUGAGGCCGGCCUCGUCCUGAAAAUCAGGGAGAGAUUAGUGAGGGGACAAGAGUUUGUCUGUAACUUCCUGUAAAAACAACCCGUAAGUCUAGCAUUUUUGUGGGAUAUUAUG